CAUUCACGGAGAGUUUGAUCCUGGCUCAGGACGAACGCUGGCGGCGUGCUUAACACAUGCAAGUCGAACGAUGAACCGCUUUCGGGCGGGGAUUAGUGGCGAACGGGUGAGUAACACGUGGGCAAUCUGCCCUGCACUCUGGGACAAGCCCUGGAAACGGGGUCUAAUACCGGAUAUGACUGUCCAUCGCAUGGUGGAUGGUGUAAAGCUCCGGCGGUGCAGGAUGAGCCCGCGGCCUAUCAGCUUGUUGG
rnacentral:rRNA from 1 species